CUACGGGUGGCACCAGUGAGGAAUAUUGCACAAUGGGGGGAACCCUGAUGCAGCAACGCCGCGUGGAGGAUGACGCAUUUCGGUGUGUAAACUCCUUUUAUAUGUCAAGAAAAUGACGGUAGCAUAUGAAUAAGCACCGGCUAACUCCGUGCCAGCAGCCGCGGUACUACGGAGGGUGCAAGCGUUACUCGGAAUCACUGGGCGUAAAGGACGCGUAGGCGGGUUGGAAAGUCAGGUGUGAAAUCCUACAGCUUAACUGUAGAACUGCACUUGAAACUUCUAAUCUAGAGUAUGGGAGGGGGAGAUGGAAUUAGUGGUGCAGGGGUAAAAUCCGUAGAUAUCACUAGGAAUACCUAAAGCGAAGGCGAUCUCCUGGAACAUUACUGACGCUAAGGCGUGAAAGCGUGGGGAGCAAACAGGAUUAGAUACCCUUGUAGUC
rnacentral:rRNA from 1 species